AGUGAACGCUGGCGGUAGGCCUAACACAUGCAAGUCGAACGGCAGCACAGUAAGAGCUUGCUCUUACGGGUGGCGAGUGGCGGACGGGUGAGGAAUACAUCGGAAUCUACUUUUUCGUGGGGGAUAACGUAGGGAAACUUACGCUAAUACCGCAUACGACCUGCGGGUGAAAGCAGGGGAUCUUCGGACCUUGCGCGAUUGAAUGAGCCGGUGUCGGAUUAGCUAGUUGGCGGGGUAAAGGCCCACCAAGGCGACGAUCCGUAGCUGGUCUGAGAGGAUGAUCAGCCACACUGGAACUGAGACACGGUCCAGACUCCUACGGGAGGCAGCAGUGGGGAAUAUUGGACAAUGGGCGCAAGCCUGAUCCAGCCAUACCGCGUGGGUGAAGAAGGCCUUCGGGUUGUAAAGCCCUUUUGUUGGGAAAGAAAAGCAGCAGGUUAAUACCCCGCUGUUCUGACGGUACCCAAAGAAUAAGCACCGGCUAACUUCGUG
rnacentral:rRNA from 1 species